GCGCGGGUGCUGUAAUUGGUAGCCAGGCUAGCCUAAGGAGCUAGUGGGAAUUAUCCCGUGGAGGUUCGAGUCCUCUCCCGCGCACCA
rnacentral:tRNA from 1 species